rnacentral:misc_RNA from 1 species
CCGUCAAUUCAUUUGAGUUUCAACCUUGCGGUCGUACUCCCCAGGCGGAGUGCUUAAUGCGUUAGCUACGGCACUAAACCCCGGAAAGGGUCUAACACCUAGCACUCAUCGUUUACAGCGUGGACUACCAGGGUAUCUAAUCCUGUUUGCUCCCCACGCUUUCGAGCCUCAGCGUCAGUUACAAGCCAGAGAGCCGCUUUCGCCACCGGUGUUCCUCCAUAUAUCUACGCAUUUCACCGCUACACAUGGAAUUCCACUCUCCCCUCUUGCACUCAAGUUAAACAGUUUCCAAAGCCUACUAUGGUUAAGCCACAGCCUUUAACUUCAGACUUAUCUAACCGCCUGCGCUCGCUUUACGCCCAAUAAAUCCGGACAACGCUCGGGACCUACGUAUUACCGC